UUGUAAAUGCACGUCUUACUUCACAGCCUUAGAGCUCAGUUAUUGCUAUGAUCGUUAUCCUAUCAUCAUGGCCAUUGAACAAGUCUCUGAUCUAAAUCAUUUAAUUCCUAACAAAUUAACGCUUGUUUUUUCCGUCGCUUGCGCUGUUCUAGUUGCCGUUGGAAAUGCGUUGCUUCGACGUUACAAGUAUUGCCAACGAUGCGAUAAAGUACCCGGACCGCCUGCUCAGUUCCCGCUUUUCGGGAGCGCUACGGAAUUUUUUCUUCCACCGGAAAAAAUCUUACCGCACGUCAUGGAAUUGUACAAAAAAUACAACAAGAAGUCAAUCAUUCGAAUCUGGAUUGGGCCUCAACCCUGGUUUGCCCUCGGAUCGGCGGAAAGUGCGGAGGUGGUGCUUAGCAGUAAUAAGAUUAUCGAUAAAGGCCCAGAGUAUGACUAUAUACAUCCAUGGCUAGCUACAGGUCUAUUGACCAGCACUGGCAGCAAGUGGCACCAGCGGCGUAAAUUGCUGACACCGACAUUUCAUUUCAAGAUUCUCGAGGACUUUGUCCACGUUUUCAACGAGCAGAGUGCCAUACUCGUCGAAAGGCUGCACGAGAAAGUCAGCCAGGAUUUUGACAUUUUCCCGUUCAUCACGUUAUGCACACUGGAUGUCAUUUGCGAAACGGCCAUGGGUCGUCACGUGAAUGCCCAAAGCCAGUCUGAUUCUGAUUACGUCAAAGCUGUUUACAAGAUGAGCCACAUCAUCCAGUCGAGGCAAACGCAGCCCUGGCUACAACCAGACUGGUUAUUUCGCCUGUUUCCAUACGGAUUCGAACAGAAGAGAUGCUUGUCAAUUCUUCAUGGUUUCACUGAUCAGGUGAUUCGUGAGCGAAAAAUUGAACACAAACAACGCACUGGCCAGCAACAACAGAAGGUGGAGUCACCAGAUGGAGAAGAAUGCAUGCCAAAGAAAACCCGUUUAGCAUUGCUCGAUCUCUUAAUUGAAGCCUCUCAAGACGGCAAAGUUCUCAGCGAUCUAGAUAUCCGCGAAGAAGUCGAUACUUUCAUGUUUGAAGGCCAUGAUACGACUGCUGCCGCCAUCAACUGGUCUCUUUUUCUCAUAGGCAAUCAUCCCGAAGUUCAGGAGAAAGUGAAUGAGGAGCUCGAUCGAGUGUUUGGCAGUUCUGAUCGUCCAGUCACAAUGGCCGAUUUAAGUGAACUGAAAUAUCUCGAGUGCUGUAUCAAAGAAGCCCUUCGCUUAUAUCCGAGCGUGCCAUUUUUUAGCCGGCUCGUCACAGAAGACACUACUAUCUGUGGUUACGAUAUCCCAGCUGGAGCUUCGGUCGUAGUGAUGUCUUACGUCAUACACCGAGAUCCUACCUAUUUCCCGGAUCCCGAACGUUUUCAACCUGAACGUUUCUUUCCCGAAAACGUUCGUGGUCGACAUCCUUAUGCAUACGUUCCGUUCAGCGCGGGACCACGUAACUGCAUCGGACAAAAAUUUGCGAUGAUGGAAGAGAAGGUUAUCCUCGCUUCAGUGUUACGUCGCUUUCACGUUAGAGCCUUGGACAAGCCAACUGAUUUACCUGUCGUGACUGAACUGAUCCUGCGUCCGCUUGACGCAAUUCGUGUAUGCCUGACCAGAAGGACGUAGUUGACGGAUUAAGUGACAGUUUUUUCAACAUAUUCGUAUACCGCCCAAAAUUGGAUGCUCAGGGAAAUCACCUACACGGUACGUCUGGGCAGUGGACCUUAAACCGUUGGAUUUUGCCAAUUUUUUCGACAGGUAAAGAGAAAUCUUUGGUUUGAUAAAAAAAAAAAUUGCGAAAAACCUUAAUUAGGGGGUUUUCUUCGUGUAUUGAUAAAUCAACUUUUUCUCAACUCGAAUUGAAAGACGGAGGGCUAACAAAAAUCUAGUUUUGCAGCUAAAUAGAACGAACGCUACACGUAUCGGACGACAGAACACCGACAAGGUGGUCUAAUCGUAGUAAACAAACCGGAUUGAUAAAGGAGUCCUGUUGAAAAUAUCGUGUCAAAGACGUUUGUUUAGUUUUCUGUUGCAACACCUUUUGCAACGCAUGGCCUUCAAAUUCGUCCAGAUAAUUCUUGAAUAUUUGAACCAAUUUCGAAUGCGCUUGUCUCGUUGCGUCACUUAAAUCAUGCUGUUGAUUUUUCGGGGCGAUAUAAUUUCAACACUACGUACUAAUUUGACAAACGCGUGAUUGAUUUACUAGCCAGUCAGUCCAUUCGGAGACGAUGAUAAACACGAAAUUUGACGACUUGCGUUCGGUUUAUGGAAGGAAGCAAUAAAACGGCCGGACCAUCUGGUCCGAUUCCGGUUUUUGAACGGUUCGCCGAGCUCUUUUUUUCUAGAGCCUCAGCUUUUUUAAAAGUCAUUUAGACUUAAUCAAUUUUGUAUUGAUUAUUUUAGAACUACGCAAUCUCAUAAAUGGAAUUUUCGCGUGUUCCGUUCAUCACGCUGGUCACAUUUGAUGUAAUCAACGAUUUAAAAAAGACGUUUUGCCUCAUUUUUAUUAUCAAUUUUCAUGUUUGUGUUAUUCCAGUAUCAGCUAUGGAUUAGCACGUGCACACUGAAAAGCAACAGUGACUCUUUUUACGAUUUUGAGUUUACGAAUGAGACAUGAUUUGCUGUUUGUUUUUUUCGAAGGUUUGUUGUUUUAGUGAAGAAGAAACUUCCAUUGCGAAACCCAAAGACUCGGAUCUUUCGUAGUCCAACCUUCCCUUUGGCAGUCCUUAAUGCAAGAUAAUAGGUGGGAUAAGUUUGCCACUGAAACGUGAUAGGAUGUAGUUGCUAUCGUGAACAGUAAACUAAAAGACCCGACUAAACGUUAGAAAAUAUCGUCAAACUAAAAUGAAAACUUUAUGGCAACGCAGCAUUCUCAUUCGAGAGUUAACUUGCGCAUAAUAUUGCCCUUAAAUUUGAUGUGAUAAAGGCAGCUGGUGCGAAAUUAUGACGAUAAAGAUGCCUUCAUCUUUGAAGCGCAGUCACUUAUUUUCGUAACUAAUUAUCAAGCAAAGUAGUAAUUAUGAAAGAAAGAAAAGGCCAUCCUUUGCUCAAUGUACUCUUUGUAUUCGUAAUGAAUUUUCAGUUACAGGUACAGAAUUCGGCCUCGUCUGUUCUCCGAUGUAGUUGGUAAGUUUUGGACAGGUCAUUGACAUGCAAACAUGUUUGCGUGCGAGGCUGAUUAGAUAUUUUCACGCUAUAAACAUAGCGUACGGCUUUCGUUUCAACUAUAUGUAGCUAACCACACAUGGAAUAGUACUUGUUUCGGAAGCGGCAUUUUCCCGACCAAACGAACAAAAUAGGCCGCAAAUUAUAUUUUUUCUAGGAAGUCCUGGUUAGUAAUAGUUUGCAAGAAAAAGAAAGCCUGGAAAGGAAUCGAAUAACUUACGUCAAGUAGCGACGUAUAUUUUUUUUGGCUGAGUGAAAGUGUAACCGCGUCGUCAGAUAAAACGGCGGGCGUUUCACGGUGGAGGUUAAAUUAAGCGGCCAAAAAAAAAUGUUAACCAAUAAAUCAAAAUUUAUGCUGAAGGGAGUUUCACUUUUUUCGUUCCACAUAAUCGAGCGAUCUGUAUCAUUUGAAAACGGGGCGUCAUUUAAACUGCGUGAUAUCCGAUGAACAAUAUCGAUGAAUCAAUUUAAAAUAUUUGGAUUUAACGGUCAGGGCACUAUUUGUGAAAUGUGAAUAAUUAUUUACUAGUCCAGAUUUUUAUUGCCAUAGAUUUGAUACAAGACCUUUGGAACACAGAACUACCCAUUGGAUUUCAACUAUAUGGCGAGAUAAAGUUUAUUUUGGUAACUUUGCUGAUUACGAUAUUUAACACUCAGAUAAGAAUUCAGCUGGACUGUGUAUAAGACGUUAUCCAGAGCUUGAAUUGAUCGUUCUUAUAGUAUGGCGCCGCGAAAAUAAGAACAGCCAUCUGAGUUAAAAGGUCAAAAAAAAAAAAAAAAAAAUUGUAGACAGG